rnacentral:rRNA from 1 species
GCUUAGAGAGGGGUCAAUGUCCUAUCAGCUAGUUGGCAGGGUAAUGGCCUACCAAGGCUAAGACGGGUAGCCGGCCUGAGAGGGUGGUCGGCCACACUGGGACUGAGACACUGCCCAGACUCCUACGGGAGGCUGCAGUCGAGAAUCUUUCGCAAUGCCCGAAAGGGUGACGAAGCGACGCCGCGUGUGGGAAGAAGGCCUUCGGGUUGUAAACCACUGUCGGGAGUUAAGAAAUGUAAGGGUGUUAAUAGCAUCCUUGCUUGACUAAGGCUCCGGAGGAAGCCACGGCUAACUCUGUGCCAGCAGCCGCGGUAAUACAGAGGCGGCAAGCGUUGUUCGGAAUUAUUGGGCGUAAAGAGCACGUAGGCGGCUUUGUAAGUCGGUUGUGAAAGCCUUCUGCUUAACGGAAGAACAGCAUCUGAUACUGCAAGGCUAGAGUACGGAAGGG